CCUCUUUCUUCCUUCCUUCUUUUCUUUUUUCUUUUCUUUUUCUUUUUCUUUUUGUUUUUUUUUUCCCCACUAAACUUUUGCUUUGCCCUGGGCAGAUUUUUCCGCCGUGAAUUAAGGAGAGUUUCUCAUUGAGCUCCACAUCGCGCUGCCCUGGAUUCUGCGUGCGGUGAGAGGACGGACAAACGUCGCCUUUUUGCGGAGCGCACAGACACGCGGAGCCCCGAAUGCAUCUGUGGCCCCGAGCCGCCCUGCAGGGACGCACAGAACUCUGAAGGUGUUCGCGGAGCAGAGGGGUCGCGGGUUGGGCGAGAAGAGCGAGGCAGAAGGGCGAUGGAUAAAUGAAGGCUCCAUGGAAAUAUCCGGGGCGGAAAGCUCAGAGCUGCGCCCGGAGCAGCUCCGUAUGGCCCUUCGCUGAGAAGAAAACUACGCUGGAAGUCACCGUUUACAGUAUCUAAAGGCAGCCUGCGAGUGACUUUAAUCCCAGCCCUAGCUAUUAGAGGAGGUUUAGCUCUCCUGCAAAUAUUUGCUUUUUUGUCCCCAUAGAAACAUCAUUAGGAGAAGUUCAUUUAAUAAUAAGGUCAAUUAAAGAGUAUUUUUCAAUGAGUGGAGGAAAAAUUGCUUUCCUACAGGAGCAGCCUCUCCAGCAACCCCUGGCAACAGCAGCGCGGCGCUGCGGGGCAUCGCCACACGG
ensembl:lncRNA